rnacentral:rRNA from 1 species
AUGGCUCAGAUUGAACGCUGGCGGCAGGCCUAACACAUGCAAGUCGAGCGGAAACGAGUUAUCUGAACCUUCGGGGAACGUUAAGGGCGUCGAGCGGCGGACGGGUGAGUAAUGCCUAGGAAAUUGCCUUGAUGUGGGGGAUAACCAUUGGAAACGAUGGCUAAUACCGCAUAAUGCCUACGGGCCAAAGAGGGGGACCUUCGGGCCUCUCGCGUCAAGAUAUGCCUAGGUGGGAUUAGCUAGUUGGUGAGGUAAUGGCUCACCAAGGCGACGAUCCCUAGCUGGUCUGAGAGGAUGAUCAGCCACACUGGAACUGAGACACGGUCCAGACUCCUACGGGAGGCAGCAGUGGGGAAUAUUGCACAAUGGGCGAAAGCCUGAUGCAGCCAUGCCGCGUGUAUGAAGAAGGCCUUCGGGUUGUAAAGUACUUUCAGUUGUGAGGAAGGGGGUGUCGUUAAUAGCGGCAUCUCUUGACGUUAGCAACAGAAGAAGCACCGGCUAACUCCGUGCCAGCAGCCGCGGUAAUACGGAGGGUGCGAGCGUUAAUCGGAAUUACUGGGCGUAAAGCGCAUGCAGGUGGUUCAUUAAGUCAGAUGUGAAAGCCCGGGGCUCAACCUCGGAACUGCAUUUGAAACUGGUGAACUAGAGUACUGUAGAGGGGGGUAGAAUUUCAGGUGUAGCGGUGAAAUGCGUAGAGAUCUGAAGGAAUACCAGUGGCGAAGGCGGCCCCCUGGACAGAUACUGACACUCAGAUGCGAAAGCGUGGGGAGCAAACAGGAUUAGAUACCCUGGUAGUCCACGCCGUAAACGAUGUCUACUUGGAGGUUGUGGCCUUGAGCCGUGGCUUUCGGAGCUAACGCGUUAAGUAGACCGCCUGGGGAGUACGGUCGCAAGAUUAAAACUCAAAUGAAUUGACGGGGGCCCGCACAAGCGGUGGAGCAUGUGGUUUAAUUCGAUGCAACGCGAAGAACCUUACCUACUCUUGACAUCCAGAGAAGCCAGCGGAGACGCAGGUGUGCCUUCGGGAGCUCUGAGACAGGUGCUGCAUGGCUGUCGUCAGCUCGUGUUGUGAAAUGUUGGGUUAAGUCCCGCAACGAGCGCAACCCUUAUCCUUGUUUGCCAGCGAGUAAUGUCGGGAACUCCAGGGAGACUGCCGGUGAUAAACCGGAGGAAGGUGGGG